rnacentral:misc_RNA from 1 species
CGCACCUUGCGCUCCUUGGUAUUCCGAGGAGCAUGCCUGUUUGAGUGUCAUGAAACCCUCAACCUCUGACUUUCUUAAUCGUCGGUCAGCGGCUUGGACUUGGGUGUCUGCCGGUCUUCAUUGAUCGGCUCACCUGAAAUAUAUUAGCGAAUCCCUUCUGUAAUCGGUUCCACUCGACGUGAUAAGUAUUUCGUCGAGGACAUCUUUAUUGAUGGCCGAGAUAAAGCUGGUUCUAGAUCUGCUUCUAACUCUUUCGUUGCCUUCUUGGUAAAGAAAAACCCCUCAUGAUCUGGCCUCAAAUCAGGUAGGACUACCCGCUGAACUUAA